UACGUAGGUGACAAGCGUUGUCCGGAUUUACUGGGCGUAAAGAGCGCGCAGGCGGUCGAUCAAGUCGAGUGCGAAAGCCCCCGGCUCAACUGGGGAGGGUCAUUCGAUACUGAUCGACUCGAAGGCAGGAGAGGGUAGUGGAAUUCCCGGUGUAGUGGUGAAAUGCGUAGAUAUCGGGAGGAACACCAGUGGCGAAGGCGACUACCUGGCCUGUUCUUGACGCUGAGGCGCGAAAGCUAGGGGAGCAAACGGG
rnacentral:rRNA from 1 species